rnacentral:rRNA from 1 species
GGGGGGGGGGGGGGGGGGGGUGGGCGGGGGGAGGGCGAGGGCUGGGGCGUGGUGCGUGCGGGGGGUGGGUGAGUGGCGGACGGGUGAGUAAUCCGUGGGUCACCUGCCCUUGACUCUGGGAUACGCCUGGGGAACUGGGUCUCAUACUGGAUACGCCAUGUCACCGCCUGGCGGUGUGUGGACAGGGUUUUGUUGGUUCUGGAUGGGCUCACGGCCUAUCAGCUUGUUGGUGGGGUAAUGGCCCACCAAGGCGACGACGGGUAGCCGGCCUGAGAGGGUGACCGGCCACACUGGGACUGAGACACGGCCCAGACUCCUACGGGAGGCAGCAGUGGGGAAUAUUGCACAAUGGGCGGAAGCCUGAUGCAGCGACGCCGCGUGAGGGAUGAAGGCCUUCGGGUUGUAAACCUCUUUCAGCACGGAAGAAGCGAAAGUGACGGUACGUGCAGAAGAAGCGCCGGCUAACUACGUG